CUCUGGAAGGCGCGGAACUGCUGUGCGAGCCGAGCGCGUUGCUGCCCGGAGGCUCCUACGCCACGGCCCGCCGGGCCCGGCGCCGGAAGUGAGCUGUUCCGAGGCGCCGCCGGGAGCUGCCACGUCCGAGACCUGGAGCAGCCACCGCCGCAAUCAUGGUGUCAGUAAUUAACACUGUGGAUACCUCCCAUGAGGACAUGAUUCACGACGCCCAGAUGGACUACUAUGGCACCCGCCUGGCAACCUGCUCAUCAGACAGGUCCGUCAAAAUCUUUGAUGUGCGCAAUGGAGGGCAGAUCCUUAUCGCCGACCUCAGGGGUCAUGAGGGUCCUGUGUGGCAAGUGGCCUGGGCUCACCCCAUGUACGGCAACAUCCUGGCAUCGUGCUCCUAUGACCGGAAAGUCAUUAUCUGGAGAGAGGAAAACGGCACCUGGGAGAAGAGCCACGAGCAUGCAGGACACGACUCCUCAGUGAACUCGGUGUGCUGGGCCCCCCAUGACUACGGCCUGAUCCUGGCCUGUGGGAGCUCGGAUGGGGCCAUCUCCCUGCUGACUUACACCGGGGAAGGCCAAUGGGAAGUAAAGAAGAUCAACAACGCUCACACCAUUGGCUGCAAUGCCGUCAGCUGGGCCCCUGCUGUUGUACCUGGAAGCCUCAUAGACCAGCCAUCGGGGCAGAAACCCAAUUACAUCAAGAGGUUUGCAUCAGGUGGCUGUGACAACCUCAUCAAGCUGUGGAAGGAGGAGGAGGACGGCCAGUGGAAGGAGGAGCAGAAGCUAGAAGCGCACAGUGACUGGGUUCGAGAUGUGGCCUGGGCCCCCUCCAUCGGCCUGCCCACCAGCACCAUCGCCAGCUGCUCCCAGGAUGGUCGUGUGUUCAUUUGGACCUGUGAUGAUGCCUCAAGCAAUACGUGGUCCCCUAAAUUGUUGCACAAGUUCAACGAUGUGGUGUGGCAUGUGAGCUGGUCCAUCACAGCCAACAUCCUGGCUGUCUCUGGUGGAGACAAUAAGGUACAUACCCAUUCCCCGUGGCAUGGUGGACACAGCCUGUUGGUCUUCAGCCCGCCCACUAGAGAGGGCACUUGACAUUCCCAUCUGACUGCAGGCUGGGCAGGAGCCUUAGCCAGGACUGCGUUUUGAUUGUGCCUCUUAGUUACAUCAUUAAUGUCACAGCCCCUGAGGUAGUAUUAACACGUCCCCCUUUCACAGAUGAGGAAAGAAGCUGACAGAGGCGAUUUGACUUGCAUGGGGGUCCCAAAACUAUGAGGUGGCAGAGCCAGUCAGGCCCAUCACCCUACUAAGCAUUUGGUCACCUCAUGGUGAUGUUCAGUUAGCUGUGCCAAAAAAGCAAGUGUAUAAGAACCCAUAAACAGAAGAAGAUUGGGGAUUUUUUUUGUCCAUAACACUGAAAAGGCUUUUUAAAAACCUUUAGAGUUUAUGAAUACUUGUUAUGCUGGUAAGAGGUAGGUACACAGUGGGUGCACUGGAAGAGUUUGCAUUUUGCAGCUGAAAGAGUUCUGGAGACCAGCCUUGUUAUGCUGGUAAGAGGUAGGUACACAGUGGGUGCACUGGAAGAAACUCUUUUCAGCUGCAAAAUUGAAACUCUGUACCCAUUAAAUAACUCCCUUCCUCAUUGCCCCUCCCCAGCCCUGGCAGCCACCCUUCUCCUUUCUGUCUAUGUGAAUGUGACUGCUCUAGGGACCUAUCUAAGUGGAAUCAUACAGUAUUUGUCCUUUUGCGACUGAGUAUGUCACUAGCAGUAUGCCCUUAAGGUUCCUCCAUGCUGUACGUAGCAUGUGUCAGAAUUCCUUUCUUUGUAAAGCUAAGUAGUGUUGCAUUGUAUAGACAGCCCACACCCUGUUUCUACAUUUAUUCCUCCACCAAAGGGCACCUGGGCUGCUGCCACCUCUUAGCUAUUGCGAAUAGUGUGGCUGUGAACAUGGGUGUGCAGAUCUUGAGAGCCUCUGCAGGCAGCUUUUCUGGCCGAGGGUCCCUUUCAUCUACAGUGGUCCCAGAAAGAUCUAGCAGGCCCCCUCUCAAAGCCAUAUUUCUAGUGAGUGCCAGAGUCAGGACCAGAACCCAGGUUGAUGGCACUCAGGGCAGACCAAGGGACCCAGAUUGCCUCAAGCAGGCCCACAGUGAUUUUUUUACAAGGCUGUAAGCAAGUGCCUGGCUGUGCAUGCAAUGUUUUGGGGUCCCCGUCACUAUGCAUUUAGGCUUCUUGCUCUUCUUUAUAAGCAUGUUUCCUUUUGCUGUCUCCAUAGCACCCUUACCUAAAGGACUUAGUAUGUUUUCAAUGCCAGAGCAUUCUGCAGUGUGUUGAGUGAAUAGUUUGUCCCUAAAGCAAGAGUUCUUAAAGUCAAAAUCGUUAUUUUCAUUUUUAAUCAAACUAAUAUAUGUACAUAGGUUUAGAUUGUUUUUGUUUUGUUUUUUUUUUUUGAGAUCGAGUCUUGCUCUGUCGUCCAGGCUGGAGUGCAGUGGCGCAGUCUCGGCUCACUGCAACCUCCGCCUCCUGGGUUCAAGCGAUUCUCCUGCCUCAGCCUCCCCAGUAGCUGGGAGAUUACAGGUGCCUGCUAGUUUUUUUGUGUGUAUUUUUAGUAGAGACGGGGUUUCACCAGUUCAGGCUGGUCGCGAACUCCUGGCCUCAGGUGAUCCACCCAUCUCAGCCUCCCAAAGUGCUGAGAUUACAGGCAUGAGCCACGAUGCCCGACCUAGAUUGAUUUUUUUUAAUGCAGCCUCCUAAUUUUCUCUCCAGGGGCAAACCUUUUCAGCUCUUAGCUAUUUCUUACACAGUUUACUUCAGUGUAGAAACAACAUAUUGAACUGUUACCUUCCUCUACCACAGUAGGUUUCAAACUGCAGUGUUGUUAAACCUGUUAAAACAGAUUGCCAGCCCCACCCCCAGAGCUUCCUAAUCAGUUGUUCCAGGCCCCAAGAAUCUGCAGUUGUAGCAAGCUCCCAGGUGACCGAUGCUCUGGUCUGGGGACCACACUUGGCGAACCCUGCUCCCUGCCACCCCAUAUCCUCUCGCUGUAGCUCUGUCACAGUUUGCUGAAUACAGUAUCCUGUGUUGACAUCAUCAUCCACAGCUGCUGUUAUUGUUACUCCUUUUUUUCUGUGAGUUUUUAUUCCUGGACUCUCAUUUUGGUGAGAUUUCAGUGGAGGAGGGACAUGCUCUGUUCACCCACAAGCCUCUGGUCAGUGGUUCUUGAUGAGGAUGAGGCUCAUAUUUAGGGCACAGCAGAGGGAAGGGCACAGACCCGUGAUAAUCUGCUUGUGAACUGACUUGCAGGUGACCCUGUGGAAGGAGUCAGUUGAUGGGCAGUGGGUGUGCAUCAGUGAUGUCAACAAGGGCCAGGGCUCCGUAUCAGCGUCAGUGACAGAGGGCCAGCAGAAUGAGCAGUGACAAGACAGGUGGGGCCUGGCUCCCCACCCGCCAGCUCCAGGACUGCCCCUUCCUGGGCCAACUAACCAAACAACUGGGAAGAGCCCCCAACUCCAACAGGAUUAUUUUCCCAGGAGGAGUUACAGAUGCAGCCACAGAUUGAUCAUCUGCCUUAACAUGAUCGGAGAUGCUUUGUAAUCUACUGUCCAGCUGAAAGCACUCAUGUUACGAGGAAGAAACUACAAGUGAUGUUCAAAUCUAUUUUAAACUAUUUUGGGUCAUUUUUAUGUACCUUUGGGUUCAGGCAUUAUUUGGGGGGUUUUGUUUCCAAAGUAACUAAAUAAAGUCAUAUUGCUUAUAA